UCCUUUAGCUUAGAGGAAUGUGAGGAAA
rnacentral:piRNA from 1 species